UAUUGCAUAUUACAUAAAUUAAAUGUAUAGUUAUAGCACUCUACUUUUGGUGCGCAAUUCAAAACAUUCAUGUAAAAAUUAAAUGUAGUUAUAGCACUCUACUUUUGGUGCACAAUUCAAAACAUUCAUGUAAAAAUUCACAAAACCUUCUAGCAUGAACAGGGUUGCAUAGUACUUUACAAUGGUUUUCCUUUGAUAUAGCAUCGUCUGAAUUAUAGAUGUUCAAAGGGUAAUAUGGUAAUUAGAAAAAAAUGUGAAGAAAAUUUUUUCUAUAUCUAAAGAAAUGGAGAGAGAGAGAUAUUUCUUUUCUUUAUUUACAUGUAUAUCUGUCGAUUACAGUUCAGAUACUGGGUUUGUGAGUUGAAUUAAUCAAAUGAGAGUGGUAAAAAUUCACCUUUAUAUCGUAUAAUUUACAUAUCAGGAUUUUAUCCAGGUACGUUAUUCUGGUUUGUGGAAUGCUAAUUUAUACUAAGUUAGAAUAAUCUAAGCUGUAUACCAAAGUAGGUCUUCAUGGGGCUUUACGGCUCUAUCCAUCGUAAAUAGAGAUCGGGUUCAAUGCGUCGGGUGUGGGAUUCACACAAUAUAUGAUGAGCGCGAAAGUUGAUAUUGAAAGGCGCCAUGAUGUGAUACCGGUACAUGAAUCGAGAACAGGAGUUGAAUCAGUUGAUGCAGAUAUUCUGAGGAGAAUCUUCCAGUCAUUGAAAUAUAUUUCAUGAUAGUCAUGCAGAUUCAGAAGUUGUGAUGGUGUGUUGAUAGGCUGUCUUCAACUUGCCAUAUCUUAGAGUUCCAACAUGCAGGCCUGGAUUAAUGUGUAUAAAUCACUAAUGAAGUUACUUAGUGUUAUUUAGUUUUCAAAAAAAGAAUGACAUUUCAAUUUAUACACACUUGCCAAGUGAAUCUGAUGAGACUGCUACAUGUAUUUGUGAGUAAAAGGCAUUCUGUCUUAACCGAAAAACUAUUUACAGUUUAUCACAACAAAUGGAUGGGACAGUAGAGCUGUUGCGGACAAAAUGUGAUUGUGAUGACCAAGUACUGAACAAGUGGAAGAUUAGAAGAAGGUCCAGAAUUCAAUCAUGUUUUUGAUUCUAAGGUGCAGACAGCAUGGAGAUAGUCCUAUUAUUCUCCCGUUCAUCUAUGAUGGAGAAACUUGUGUAAAUGUUUAGUGUUCUCCCUGAUAAUUAAGUGCCCACAAGUCUGUAUUAAUUUAUCAGAAUAUAAAGUCCUUCACAGUACUGAUUUUAAAAUUAAUGUAGAUUGUCUCCAGAUUUUUCUGAGGAAAAGUACAUAGUUUACAUGUGUGAAUUUUGAAUAUAUUUCAUUCUUGUCUGCAAGUGUUGCCGAAACCUGUUGUUAUUGAUGCACAGUCAUGUUAUGCAAAUGAUAGACCUCCUUCUUAAUUACAUGUACAUAAGAUCAUGUUAACUCCUUUGUAUUAAUUGUAUACACAAUUCUAGCAUUUAUAGCAUCAUUUAUAUAGCACUUGCUAGUUUAAGAAGGAUUUUAUUUUCUAAAAGCUUCAUUUGACAUGAUUGAUCUAAAACGGCCAAAAUUCACAAAUCUAUUUAAAUCACAACCUGACCUUAGGCCAGAAAAGUGCCACUGUGGGUUGAUAUUUUUCUCUUGGAUCUUGAAAGAAAUUCUUUAUGCAGCAGUUUCCAAAUUAAAUGUACUCUCAUGGCCAGGGUGGGACUUCACUGAGAACUUUUUAACAUUGCUUAAUGCAAUAUUUGUAGAUUAGAAGUUGUUGCAGUUUCUUUAAGUUUUCUCUCACAUCUUGUUAUAAUUAUAUUUUAUAUUUUUGGUCAGGUUGCACAAUGUGCAAACAGUUUAUAAAAUGGUGAAUAACUGGAGGGCAAGUGACAGUAGCGUCCGUGUAAUAGUACCUACUUUGUGUAAUCAACUCCUUUCACACCUCUCACUUGAUGUUCCUUAAGCUUUGUACAGUUGUUAGGGAUACAUUGAAGAUGUGCAUGUGCCUUUUUGAAAGUAAUCAGACAUUUUUUGAAAAAUUUACAUGUAGUUGAACUUCGUCAUUUUUUAAGCAUUUCUUUAAUCGACAGUACCUAUUUUGUGUAAUCAUCUCCUCGUACAUACCUCUAACUUGACAUUCCUCAAACUGUGUACAUUUGUUUUGAACACAUUGAAGAUGUGCAUAUGUGUUUUUGAAAGUGAUAAGACAUUUUUUUAAAAAUGUAUACGUUGUUGAACUUAGUCAUUUUUAAGCAUUUCUUGAAUAGAUGGUAACUAUUUUGUGUAAUCAAAUCUUCAUGCACCUCUAACUUGACAUUCCUUAAACUUUGUACAGUUGUUAUGAACACAUUGAAGAUGUGCAUGCAUCUUUUUGAAAAUGAUUAGACUUUUUAAAAAAAAAAUUGUGUAGUUGAACUUUGUCAUUUUUAUGCAUUUCUUGAAUAGAUGGUACCUAUUUUUUGUGAUCAACUCGUGCACAUCUAAAUUGAUAUUCCUCAAACUUUGUACAGUAGUUAUGGACACAUUGAAGAUGUGCAUUUGUCUUUUUGAAAGUGAUCAGACUUUUUUCAAAAAAAUUACAUUUAGUUGAACUUUGUCAUUUUUUUUUAAGCAUUUCCUGAAUAGAUGGUACCUAUUUUUUGUAAUCAACUCCUCUUACAGCAUUUAUUUGACAUCCUUCAUACCUUGAGCAGCUGUUAUGGAAGCAUUGUAAAUGUUCAUGUGUCUUUUCGGAAGUGAUCAGGCAUUCUUUGAAAAAUUUACAUGUGCAUGGUGAAGUUCAACUUAGUCAUUUUUAAGCAUGGUACUUUAUGUAACCAACUCAGCUUUUACUUAACAUUUUCCAGACCCUGUUCAUUAUAGAUGUUUUAAAAACAUUGAAGAUAUUCAUGUAACAUUUUAAAAAUGCUUCUCUUUUUUUUUUCUUCUCUUUUUUGUUGUUGAAAAAUUCUACCUUUAAUUUGUCAUUUUCCCAGUAUGUUUCAACUGUUGUUCCUAUGAUAGAUAACAUAUUUUACAAGAACCCGGUCAUUUCUGUUUUUGAAUAAUUUUUUUAAUUAGUAUUUUUGAAUAUGUUAAUUACUUGAUAUGUCAUUGUUCUUGAAAUUAUAUUAAUUGAAUUGU